rnacentral:rRNA from 1 species
GACGAGUCUCACAAACGUUAUUCGGAAUUACUGGGCUUAAAGGGUGCGUAGGCGGUGGAGUAAGUCGGAUGUGAAAUACCUUAGCUUAACUAGGGAACUGCAUUGGAUACUGCCUUGCUUGAGUACUGGAGAGGAGACUGGAAUUUACGGUGUAGCAGUGAAAUGCGUAGAGAUCGUAAGGAAGGCCAGUGGCGAAGGCGAGUCUCUGGACAGUAACUGACGCUGAGGCACGAAGGCCAGGGGAGCAAACGGG